rnacentral:rRNA from 1 species
GACGAACGCUGGCGGCGUGCUUAACACAUGCAAGUCGAACGGAAAGGCCCUGCUUUUGUGGGGUGCUCGAGUGGCGAACGGGUGAGUAACACGUGAGUAACCUGCCCUUGACUUUGGGAUAACUUCAGGAAACUGGGGCUAAUACCGGAUAGGAGCUCCUGCUGCAUGGUGGGGGUUGGAAAUUUUCGGCGGUUGGGGAUGGACUCGCGGCUUAUCAGCUUGUUGGUGGGGUAGUUGCUUACCCAGGCUGUGACGGGUACCCGGCCUGUGAGGGUGACCGGGGACAUUGGGACUGAGAGACGGAGCAGACGCGUACGGGAGGCAGCAGUGGGGAAUCUGGCACAAUGGGCGGAAGUCUGAGGCAGCAGCGCUGCGUGCGGGAUGACGGCCUGUGGGUUGUAAACCGCUUUCGCCUGUGACGAAGCGUGAGUGACGGUAAUGGGUAAAGAAGCACCGGCUAACUACGUG